rnacentral:rRNA from 1 species
UCAGGAUGAACGCUAGCGGCAGGCUAACACAUGCAAGUCGAGGGGCAGCGCGGGGUAGCAAUACUCUGGCGGCGACCGGCGGAAGGGUGCGUAACGCGUGAGCAACUGCCGCAUCAGGGGGAUAAGCGUUGGAAACGACGUCUAAUACCCCGUAACAACAGGGAUCGCAUGGUUUCUGUUUGAAAGCUCCGGCGGAUGCGGAUGGGCUCGCGUGACAUUAGCUAGUCGGCGGGGUAACGGCCCACCGAGGCGACGAUGUCUAGGGGUUCUGAGAGGAAGGUCCCCCACACUGGAACUGAGACACGGUCCAGACUCCUACGGGAGGCAGCAGUGAGGAAUAUUGGUCAAUGGCCGGAAGGCUGAACCAGCCAUGCCGCGUGCAGGAAUGAAGGCCCUAUGGGUCGUAAACUGCUUUUGUGGCGGAGCAAUAAGGUGUACGUGUAUACCGAUGAGAGUACGUCACGAAUAAGCAUCGGCUAACUCCGUGCCAGCAGCCGC